AAAGAAUUAAAAAAAAAAAACGAAUAAAGUAAAUAAAACACGCCGAGACCCAGAGAAGCUACGGACCCGAAGCCUGAGAGAGAGAAAAGAGAAAAAAAAUUGUUGAAGUCUUCGUCGUUCGUCCCCUUUGCAAACCCUAACUUUCUUUGCCUGCUUCAGAACUCUCUCGAACUUUCUCUGAUCUACCGAUUCUACCCUUCCAUUCUCUUCACUCCCUCUCCAAUUCCAUUCAAUUCCAGCCCUUUUCGCUCCCUCCAUUCCACUGUGAGACGUGAGGACCGUGUUGAAUAGAAGAGAAAGGAGCUUGAUUUUUGUGCUUUGCUUUCUCGUGAUCUGAAAAAGUACCUUAGCAACUUUGCGUGGAUCCAUGUUAGAGUUGAUGAUGAUACAUGUUUCAUGACUCAUAAACUCAUGGAUCCUGAAGACAAGAAAUUCGGAAGAGGACCAAGGGAACUUAGUGGUGCUGUUGAUCUUGUAAGUCACUAUAAGUUGUUACCUCACCAUGACUUCUUCUGCAAGAGACCUCUUCCUUUGUCCAUUUCAGACACACAUUAUCUUCAUAAUACGGUGGGAGACACUGAAAUUAGAAAAGGAGAAGGGAUGCAGUUGGACCAGCUUAUUCAGAAUACAUCCCAUAACAGAGAAAUUAAUGUCCGCAUACAGCCUUUUGACCUGGAUAUUCUUAAGGAGGCUUUCCAGCUGAGAGAAACCAGUCCUGUUGAAUUGCCAGCUAGUGAAAAAGGGAUACCUACUAUUGCUGGGAAAUCAAAGAGGGAAGCCAAAGAUAAAGAGAGGAAGCAUAAAAAGCACAAAGACAGAGAUAAGGAGAAGGAUAAAGAGCAUAAGAAGCACAGGCACCGUCAUAAAGAUAAGGAUCGAAGUAAAGAUAAAGACAAGGAAAAAAAGAAGGAUAGAAGUGGGCAUCAUGAUUCUGGUGCUGAUCACUCAAAAAAGCACCAUGAAAAGAAAAGGAAGCAUGAUGGAGACGAAGAUCUUAAUGAUGUUCACAGACACAAAAAAAGUAAGCAUAAAAGCUCAAAAAUUGAUGAAGUUGGUGCAAUUAAAGUAGCAGGCUGAAAUGGUGGUAUUCUGUAGUUAAUUUGUUAUCGCAGAUGGUUGUCAGAGUGUGGAAGGGUUUGCUUAACGUUCUCUACAUUGCUUGAGAGUAGCUUGUAAACUGACUAAAGAAUGUGUAGAAGGUGAAUUCACCCAUUGAUGGAUAUUUCAUUAAGGUAUAAGUUUCUGAAAAUGGACUUUUUUGUAUCAUAACAUUGGGCUAAUAUAAUUGCUAGUAGCAUGCAAAACUUUGAUUUUCUUUCCUUUACAUUUCAUAGCAGGUUGGAUGACUCUGCAUGUACACAUUGAUCUAGUCUUCUUUCUUUUUAGAAGUUAAAAGUCUAGUUCUGAAAUCAGUUUUGAUUUAGGGUUUGUAGCUUUUGAUUGUAGAAAGAAUAGGCAUAUAGGGCUGUUGUAUUUUCCCCUUCACUUUUUUCAUAACACGAAUUCGUAGUUUCUUUCUUUUCUUUCUAAUUGAGAAUAUUCUUCUUCUUUUUGGGUUAAAUUCAUUGAAAAAGCCUAAUAACAUCACAAAAACAUGAAGGGUGGCCGUGCUUCCUGCUGGAUUAUUGGGUUUUUUUCUUGUCUGUUAUCAUGUCAAGCAUUUUUUUUUGGGUUAAAUGCACAAGUCAUUUCCUUGUCUGCUCAAGCAUAUUGCAUGUUUUUGAAGCCUUUUAGUUUUCUUGUUUGUACCGAUUUCCAGUUGGCAUGUGUCUAACAUUACAUUACCUAAAAUCUCUCUUAUUCUUUUUCUCUCU